GUUGGCUUAUUUUGGUUUUGAAAACUGAGAAAAAUAGUAAAAUAAUUUUAAGGGGAAAAUUAUAAAUUUUUAGAUAUUAAGGUUUUAGAGGCUUGAAUCACACAGCAACUAUCUUUGCUCGUCAUAAAAAGUUAGAAAUAUCUGACAUCUUUUUAUUUAUUUCUUUUUUUUUUUUUUUACACACUUAAGGCCUUGACACUAAGUCAUGAGAGCUUGCUGGGGACCUUUCUAGGGUCAAGAAUUGUUAUUAUUAUUUAUUUAUUCCAUUUAUGGCACCCUCUAAGCUAGUUGCUAGGCAACACCAGCUUUUCUAAUAUAGGAGGCAGAGGGAGCAGGGAAUGCCACUCUUCUCCAUGUGGAUUUGGUUUGCCAACAGAAUCAGGUCAUUGGUAACAGUGCCUGAAGAGUGUCUGACACCUCUGCUCUGAAGCAACAUGAAGACAGCUGAGACUCGAGGAGGAAGAAGGUACUAAAGCAGCUGUCAGAGCUACACCUUCAAGAACACCCAGGACUGGAAAUCUAAAAGUGUUAGUCUGCAACGAAUUUCCAUGGCGUUAAUAAAAACAAGGGGGCCAGAACCUCUGAGACUUUGUGGCACACAAUAAACUGUGCUCAUCUGGUUUUUGGAAGACGAUAGAUGAAGAUGAUUCCUGGAAGAAAUCGAAUACUGGAAAGAAAUGGUAUAAGCAUCUCAGUUAUAGCCAUGGUCAGCACAUACCGUGUGAAGAUGGAUUUAAAUAAUCCCUUGUCGACAGUCCUGAAACAUGGAAAGACAUAAUUUUCCACAAUCUUUCCCAGAUUAGACGAUUUAAGGCAAGGCACUUUUCCAGAUGCUGUGUCAGGGAUCUGUCAUUCUCAUGCAGACUGGCUUUAAAAAGACUCUGACCCACCAGGCCAAAAUGCUGAACUAUGCGGUCACGCAUCAAACCCCAAGACCACAUAAAAGGGACAGCAGGGAAGAGUCCAUCCUGGCCUUUCUGGGGAUUGUUGGAACCUUCCUUAACCUACUUGUCAUAAUUUUUGUCUACAUUUAUACUUCUCUCUGACACUAGACUCUGACAUGCAUGACCAAACUUUCCACAGAAGGGAGAUGUACUUCCCAGACACUGGAUCAAAGACGACAUGUACUGUAUUUUAUCUCACCGACAUGUGAACAUUACUGAAUUCUGUGGGUAAUCAACCAGUCCAGAUCUGCCUUUCAGAUUUGAUGGACAGUUACUACUUCCGUUGUGACUGAAGUGCGCAUACAAUAGACUUUUUACUAUCCCACAAGUUCACAGGAGAAGAUUUGUGAAUGGCAGUGAAGCGACGCAACUGAUGCUGGUGGGUCACAUGACAAUGUGGUGAAUGUAGUGCAUCUACAUUACAUACUACACACUUUCAUUCUAGAACGUACUCUUUUAGUGGUCCCAAAGUAAUAAUUACUCAUGAGAUUAUGUGAUUUCGGAUGUAGCAGUGUUUUGCCAUUGUUUUGGUAGUAUUCUAAAUUGUUGUAAUAGUGUUUGUUUUAUUGUUAUUUACUUAUCACUGUGCAACUCACUGCAUUUAUUGUCAGCUUACAAAAAAUAAAAACAAACAAACAAAAAAUAGCCUAAUAAUA
ensembl:lncRNA